rnacentral:lncRNA from 1 species
UGGAGACAUUGUUCAUGGCGUGGUGUUUUAUCUGGAGACACUGUUCAUGAUGUUUAAAACACCACGCCAUGAACAAUGUCUCCAGAUAAAACACCACGCCAUGAUUCAAGUCAUGGUGUUUUAUCUGGAAUCCAAAAAACAUUAAAACACCAAUUCAAGAUCGAAGCUUUAUGUAUAUAACCCUUUAAUAUUAUAAAACCUCACGAGUAUACUUGCAUCACCAUGAUCCGUUGUGUGUAUUUCGAGAAUUAAAUAAAACUUGAGAAUUGCAGUGAUCAAAAUCCUUACGUUCAUCAAUUAAAUAAUGGCGUCGAUUUUAUAAUGAG